rnacentral:misc_RNA from 1 species
GGAGCACAUUGAUCUUGGAAUUAAGUAUGACCCAUCAACUGGUAUAUAUGGAAUGGAUUUCUAUGUUGUUCUCGAGCGCCCAGGGUACCGUGUUGGUCGUCGCCGAAGAUGCAAGUCACGUGUUGGAAUUCAGCACAGGGUGACAAAGGAGGAUGCCAUGAAGUGGUUUCAAGUGAAAUAUGAAGGUGUCAUCCUUAACAAGGCCCAAACUAUUGGAGCUUAGAAAUGGUUUGAUCAUAUUAAGUUUUGGUGAGUUGUCAUUUUUUAGCAGGACAAUUUUUAUGUUCUUGGAAUUAAAACCUUUUUUGAAGAGAGAACUUUGAAUGUUUACUAGGUGGAAUACUAAUCAUGGUUCAUUAUUUUAAUGUGGAUGCUUUAUUAUUUAUACAAGUGAGUAGAUUAUGCUAAAGUCAUGAAAAUUAUGUGUUAUUAUUUAUGUGAGUGGGCAGAUUAUGCGAGAAUCAUUCUUAGCCCAAAUAAUUAUGGUCCAGUAGCAAGCAAGAUUUGGUAAUCUUUCUGCAGCCAUUAUAUAGUAUAGUAAUUGCGAACUGAAUGGUUGGUCAAUUGAGGUGGUCGAUGACCAUUCCAAUUAUUGAGCACCUUUGGUUGCGAUAUAAAAUUUUAGUUCUUGCAGAUAAUAGGAAAUGCGAAAAUGAGAAACUUCCGUGCCAAAAACAACAGAAGACGGGCAAAUCCAAUGCAAAAUUCAGGACCAUUUUCUUGCUUCAGCAUUGUUUAACUUUAAUCUUAUUGUUUUUAUGUGUGCAUGGAAGCUUUGAGGACUUGCAAUUCCAAAGGCUCACUUUCUUCAACCUAGAGUAACCUUUCAAGACCUCUGGACUUUGCUAGUUCCUUCAGAUCUGGGAGUUUUAUUUCCUCUGUUCUUGGCAAUAUGUUACUUUCUGUAGCUGUUGAUAGCUGCUUAACUCGAUAGCUUUGGGGCCUCCUUAACAAAAUUAGAUGGUGGGCGAGGUAAAUUGAAGCUUGCUACAGAGCGUUGUGCAUCAUCUUGCAGCUUAUGAUCCUUUCUUCACACAUCUUUUCCGUUCCAACACGUUAUCUCCUCCUUUUAUAUUGUCAUAUGCAAAAAUUACAAACUCGAAACCAGGCAUUUAAAGAGAGUUAAUAAACCAUAUUGUAGUGGUGAUUGUGAAUUAACCAAAUUUGACAUUGUAAUGUGUUGCAUCGAGGAACUUAUAUGUGGUGUGGUCGAGGAGACAAGGUCACAGGUCAAUUGUACAAAAAUGGUCAAUUGUACAAAGAAAAGGUUAAAAGUUUGGUCAAUUUACAUUUAUAUUCAUAAACUUAAUUUGCG